rnacentral:sRNA from 1 species
AGAUAUAUCACUAAAACCAGCACCCAAGUGAUGUGACUCUUCACCAGAGUCCUGCCCACAAGGAGGAUUGUGACAUUUCACUGGACCAGCACCCACUCAGGAAUCAAAUCCGAGUUCGUCUACAGCUGAUUCGGCAGGUACCAGGGCGUCCGCGAUGGUGAGUGAUAGCACCGCGAUGGUGGUAUUGCUCCAUAUGCCUGAGACCCUAACAAAAGCCUAAUUACAACUCAUAUGCCUGGAGCCAGGACAUGUGCAGGAUGACUCUGCCAAGAGAGGGGAUUAUUACAUAUUGCAGAGCCCAGCACCUAGGUGGAGUGACUCUCAUCUUUUUCUUCUACCCCGUAUAUAGCCAGCUUGGUGACCUACUAUUUGAGGCUAUACCCAGGCCCAGACCACAGAUGAAAUUGUGCAAUAUGUGGAACAAACACCUAAACAAUAUAUAACACCUUCCUUGGCUCUGUCUACAAAGGGCACUUUUAUAUAUCACUGGGACCAUCAACCAGGUGAUGUUAAUUAUCUUCCUGAAACCUGUCUACAAAGAGAGUUGUGUCGUAUACCUAGGCCCGUCAUGUAAGUGAUGUCAGUCCCUUCUACUGCCUUGGCCCUGCACUUACAGUGCAUUGUGACACAUAACAAGGUACUGCACACAGACGAUGUGAUUCUCCUUUUUGGGUUCUGCCAAAAGGAAGCAUUGUAAUAAAUCGCUUGGCUCA